rnacentral:rRNA from 1 species
UACAGAGGUCUCAAGCGUUGUUCGGAUUCAUUGGGCGUAAAGGGCGCGUAGGCGGCGGGGUAAGUCGGGUGUGAAAUCUCAGAGCUCAACUCUGAAACUGCACUCGAUACUGCUCUGCUUGAGGACUGGAGAGGAGCGUGGAAUUCACGGUGUAGCAGUGAAGUGCGUAGAGUAUCGUGAGGAAGACCAGUGGCGAAGGCGGGGUCUCUGG